rnacentral:rRNA from 1 species
AGCACCGGCUAACUCCGUGCCAGCAGCCGCGGUAAUACGGAGGGUGCGAGCGUUAAUCGGAAUUACUGGGCGUAAAGCGCAUGCAGGUGGUUUGUUAAGUCAGAUGUGAAAGCCCGGGGCUCAACCUCGGAAUUGCAUUUGAAACUGGCAGACUAGAGUACUGUAGAGGGGGGUAGAAUUUCAGGUGUAGCGGUGAAAUGCGUAGAGAUCUGAAGGAAUA